UUGGAGGGCAAGUCUGGUGCCAGCAGCCGCGGUAAUUCCAGCUCCAAUAGCGUAUAUUAAAGUUGUUGCAGUUAAAAAGCUCGUAGUUGAAUUUCGGGGUUCUACCGUUGGUCGGGCUUUGUCUGUACUGGUGUGUAGAAUUUCUACCUUCUGGGGAACCAUCAUGCUAUUAAUUUAGCGUGGUGGGAAACCAGGACCUUUACCUUGAAAAAAUUAGUGUGUUCAAAGCAGGCUUAUGUCUGAAUACAUUAGCGUGGAAUAAUAGAAUAGGACGGUGGUCCUGUUUUGUUGGUUUCUGAAUCACCGUAAUGAUUAAUAGGGAUAGUUGGGGGCAUUAGUAUUCAAUUGUCAGAGGUGAAAUUCUUGGAUUUAUUGAAGACUAACUUCUGCGAAAGCAUUUGCCAAGGAUGUUUUCAUUAAUCAAGAACGAAAGUUAGGGGAUCGAAGACGAUCAGAUACCGUCGUAGUCUUAACCAUAAACUAUGCCGACUAGGGAUCGGAUGAUGUUAAUUUUUUAAUGACUCAUUCGGCGCCUUACGGGAAAC
rnacentral:rRNA from 1 species